rnacentral:lncRNA from 1 species
AUUAAUGAUCAUUAAUUAUUAGAAUUCAUUAAUUAAUAUUAAUAUUUAAUUAACAUUAAAGGAUGGUUUUAGAAUAUAAAGAAAAGAAUGUUAGUCAAUGUGCCUUGUACCACUUACCAUAAACAUUAAUUAGGCUAUAGCAAAAUUGUAUAUACCUUUAGAAUUCCUCCCCUUCCAUUAGGUAUAAUGCUGAUUUUUCCCCCUCAAAUUUAAUCAACAUACAGGAGUAAAUUUGAACAUAUGAGAUACAUUGUGAAAGGAAAUAUUAUUCUUGUGUAUCUUGGGGUCGAACACUAAGAUAAAAAGAAUUUUUAAGGGGCGUAUCAAUUAAUGUCAAAAGACUGAUCAAGAAAACUAAUUUUUCUAAAUAAAAUUAAUACACCACUGUACUUUGAAAUUAUUUAUAUUUUGUUGCCCAUGCACUUAAAUUUUUUUUUAUUUUUUUCAAGUAAAGAUCGAAUAUUUUCUUGUUCAAGAAGCUUGUUGAUAGCUUUUAAUCUUCUCUGUGAAAAAAUGAUGCAAAGAAGAGUCCAGAACCUCGAUUUAUUUUCUUGUCAAAUAGACAAAGGUGACAACGAACUGGGGCUUUGUACUUGUAUCUUCUUUGAUCCAGCAGAUGAGGAUGGAAAGGAACCAGGGGUUUUUAUAACUGAAAUUAUUGAAGGAGGUGCAGUUCACAAACUUGGAUGUAUCCGUGUAUUUGACCAGAUUAUUAAAAUAGGUGACAUCAAUCUAAUUGGAUUGGAUGAAGCAGAAAUCGUCUCUACUUUUAAAAAAAUGGAUGAUUCUCCUUUCCAGUAAGUAAAUUUUCCCACAUUUCUUUAAGAUGCAGAGAUUGCUAGAUCAUUGUUUUUGAUUUGGAAAUUUCUUUAGCAAUGUGUUCAAACAGAAAAAUUGGGGAGAAAGAAAGCCUAAUUAACAUGUUUAAAUAAUUUCUCUUUUUGUCUUCUUUUGCUAGGAAAUGACCCUCUUUUUUUCUGUUCAGCAGUUCACAAGAUAUUUUAGGACCCAUU